rnacentral:rRNA from 1 species
GAUGAACGCUGGCGGCGUGCCUAAUACAUGCAAGUCGAGCGAACGGACGAGAAGCUUGCUUCUCUGAUGUUAGCGGCGGACGGGUGAGUAACGCGUGGAUAACCUACCUAUAAGACUGGGAUAACUUCGGGAAACCGGAGCUAAUACCGGAUAAUAUUUUGAACCGCAUGGUUCAAAAGUGAAAGACGGUCUUGCUGUCACUUAUAGAUGGAUCCGCGCUGCAUUAGCUAGUUGGUAAGGUAACGGCUUACCAAGGCAACGAUGCAUAGCCGACCUGAGAGGGUGAUCGGCCACACUGGAACUGAGACACGGUCCAGACUCCUACGGGAGGCAGCAGUAGGGAAUCUUCCGCAAUGGGCGAAAGCCUGACGGAGCAACGCCGCGUGAGUGAUGAAGGUCUUCGGAUCGUAAAACUCUGUUAUUAGGGAAGAACAUAUGUGUAAGUAACUGUGCACAUCUUGACGGUACCUAAUCAGAAAGCCACGGCUAACUACGUGCCAGCAGCCGCGGUAAUACGUAGGUGGCAAGCGUUAUCCGGAAUUAUUGGGCGUAAAGCGCGCGUAGGCGGUUUUUUAAGUCUGAUGUGAAAGCCCACGGCUCAACCGUGGAGGGUCAUUGGAAACUGGAAAACUUGAGUGCAGAAGAGGAAAGUGGAAUUCCAUGUGUAGCGGUGAAAUGCGCAGAGAUAUGGAGGAACACCAGUGGCGAAGGCGACUUUCUGGUCUGUAACUGACGCUGAUGUGCGAAAGCGUGGGGAUCAAACAGGAUUAGAUACCCUGGUAGUCCACGCCGUAAACGAUGAGUGCUAAGUGUUAGGGGGUUUCCGCCCCUUAGUGCUGCAGCUAACGCAUUAAGCACUCCGCCUGGGGAGUACGACCGCAAGGUUGAAACUCAAAGGAAUUGACGGGGACCCGCACAAGCGGUGGAGCAUGUGGUUUAAUUCGAAGCAACGCGAAGAACCUUACCAAAUCUUGACAUCCUUUGACAACUCUAGAGAUAGAGCCUUCCCCUUCGGGGGACAAAGUGACAGGUGGUGCAUGGUUGUCGUCAGCUCGUGUCGUGAGAUGUUGGGUUAAGUCCCGCAACGAGCGCAACCCUUAAGCUUAGUUGCCAUCAUUAAGUUGGGCACUCUAAGUUGACUGCCGGUGACAAACCGGAGGAAGGUGGGGAUGACGUCAAAUCAUCAUGCCCCUUAUGAUUUGGGCUACACACGUGCUGCAAUGGACAAUACAAAGGGCAGCGAAACCGCGAGGUCAAGCAAAUCCCAUAAAGUUGUUCUCAGUUCGGAUUGUAGUCUGCAACUCGACUACAUGAAGCUGGAAUCGCUAGUAAUCGUAGAUCAGCAUGCUACGGUGAAUACGUUCCCGGGUCU